rnacentral:tRNA from 1 species
UGCUCUAUGGUGUAAUGGUAGCACUACAGUUUUUGGUUCUGUCAGUGGUGGUUCGAGUCCACCUAGAGUAACUA